ACUGAGAAUAUUUAAUGAAAUAUAAGCUUUCUUUACAGCUGUAUUUGUCUUUAGAAUUUAUUCUGCUAGGUAUAGACAGUCAAAAUACUGUAUUCUAUAGCUACUAGAAUUAAUUUGUGUGUGUGCUAUUAUCACUACUUUAUAUUCAGUAGCUUUAUUUCAGUUAUUUGCCAGUAUAUAUGCUUUUAUUUAUAAAAGAAACAUUGGUGACUUAAAACCUAGUAGAAAUGAUUAUACAGGGAGGAAAAGAAUGGGUAAAUGAAAGUGAGUGUUCUCUGAAUAUACAUUCUUAUAUAGGUUUAACUUUGGAUUCAUAUAAAUGUGUUAUGUAUUUAGAAAAUAAAAAUUAGAUUAAACAAUCUUCACCUGGAGAUGCCCAAUAGUCUGAUGGAGAUAAUGAGUUUGGAAUUUAGGGGAGAAGUUAAGCUGGAGAUGUAAUUUUGGGAGACAGUGUUUUAAAUUACAGAUGAGUGAAUGAGACCAGAGUGAGUCUGAAUGUGGAUGAAGCAGUCUAAGCCUGAGAAGUGAUAUGUCUCGUCACGUAGAGGUCAGAAAGAAGGCAAGAGUUCAGCAAAGGAGGUGGAGGGGCUUCUAGUGAGGUGAAAAGGAAACUCAGAGGAAUGUGGUGUCAGGAAGCCACAUGAAAACGUGACUCAAGAAGGAGGAACUGACCAUGUGCCCUUCCAGUCACUUUUUGUAUUGCUAUCCUUUCAUAUGUUCUAAACCACAAAUGAAUAUCUAAAGAGUCGAAAGAGGUAGUUGAAGUUAGGGAAGCGGGAGAUAUUUAGAGUGGGAGGGGACUGCUCUGAUAAUGGCAAAGUGAGUCCAAGUGAGAAGUUGAAGUAAACCAAUUCAUUGAAAACUUUAAUUCGGCGCCUAACUACCUCCUUAUAACCUCAGAAUUCUCAGCAGAUUUUGCAGCUUAGAUGGAAGUCAGGAAUUAAAAGAACAUCAAACUUAAAUUUUAAGUCAGAAUAAUAAGAAGCUAAAAAGUAUUAUCUUUCAUGAAUUGUAUGGGUAAGAAACAAAAGAGAAAAAUAAAGGUAUCUUCUAUUUUUUUUAAAGCCAAUUGAUUAGCCUAAAUUUUAUGAUUGAAGGAAAAGACAAUUAUCUUGAUAGAAAGUGAGGGCGGAGUGGGUGGUAUAACUUCAAAGUGUUCUGCACGCUGGACACAUUGAUCAAAGGCAAAAUAAUAAAAGAAGCAAGUCUGAGGAGUCAUUACAUUAUUACAAAAAGACUCCCUGUGUUUCAGUUUAUGACACCAGAGUUCCUAAGGCGAAGUCAAGAGAUGAAAGAUACCAUAGUUGAUGCACUCAGUGAAUUCUGUUAAUGGCUUCCUUUUCACUUGUGAAUUUUCUUCAAAGGCAUUCCAAGAGGACUGGGCAGAAACUUCAAAACAACUUAAUGACGUAGCUUCAGAGACCAAGAAUGUCACAUUUCUGCUACAUUCUUUUGAUUAAGCAAGUCACCAAAGCCCAGAUUCAAGGGGAGAGGACUUAGACUCCAUUUUCAAAGUGAGGAAUACCAAAAAAUUUGCAGUUCCUGUUAUAUAUUAAAAGUGGCCCCAUCCAAUUUGAAAGUAUAAUAAUGCACUGUUAUUUUAAUGUUCUGUAAUAACAGACGUAUCAGUCAUGUUAUAUUUUCAUUUAAAUACUAUUAUGGAAAAAUGGCACUUGUGUGUUUUUUUUAAUAAAAAUGCUGUCAUAGUA